rnacentral:rRNA from 1 species
GACGAACGCUGGCGGCGUGCCUAAUACAUGCAAGUCGAACGCAGUGGGGACGGGUGAGUAACACGUUGGUAACCUCCCAUCAGAGGGGGGAACACUUGGAAACAGGUGCUAAACCGAUACUGAUGGAUGGACCCGCGGUGCAUUAGCUAGUUGGUGAGGGAAAGGCCCACCAAGGCCACGAUGCGUAGCCGGCCUGAGAGGGUGAUCGGCCACACUGGGACUGAGAAACGGCCCAGACUCCGACGGGAGGCAGCAGUAGGGAAUCUUGGGCAAUGGACGAAAGUCUGACCGAGCAACGCCGCGUGAGUGAAGAAGGUUUUCGGAUCGUAAAACGCUGUUGUUAGAGAAGCGGUAUCUAACCAGAAAGCAACGGCUAACUACGUGCCAGCAGCCGCGGUAAUAC